CGACUUCCACAGUACUCACGUGUUCUUUUUCCGUUCAUCUUAUGUUUUUUUCUUCUCUUUUCAAGUUCUCUUCAAAUUUUUCAAUUUCUCUGCACAAAAGUUUGCUUAAUUAACUGUUUACUUGAUAGAGUUAUGUUUUUCGAGUAGAUUUCUAUCUCUUAAUCUGUAUGAGGGCUUCAACGAAGGAGACAUGUUUAAGGCGAAACUUGGAGCUCUUCACCACACAAUGGGACGAAUUACAGGAAGCUCAAUUUUUCAAGGAUACAAAUGCUCAUCCUAUGGUGAAGUUUCAAUUUUGGGCAAGGUAAUAUUUUACGAUUCUUCUUAUUCUCAUAGGUUUUCUGAUAUAGUUCAUAUUUGCCGUUUAGCUUCUCUCGCGCUUUGGCUUUUACUUAAGUAUUUGUCAGUAGAGAAACCUCCAAAACCAGCUAACCUUCCUUGGGAUGAAUCACAAAAUAUUGGGCAAGGUUAUGAUCAUGUCGUACUGAUACUUAAAUAUUUGAUAAUUUUACUCACACUUGUAUAUAGUAGAAUGUAGGAUUAAUAUAAACAGUGGUUGUUAAUUCUCAAAAAGAGAUAUGUGAUUGCACAUGUAAAGCAACAUGCUCCAAGAUUUCGAGGAUAUUGGCUCCCUCUUCCUCUUCACUAGGCAGUUUGAGUGCCUUUAUAUUAUAUUUUCAAGUAAAUUGGAAUGAUUUAGGUUGAAGAGAAUCUUCUUUGCAGCUAAUUGUUAGUGGUAUUUAAGAAAUUACAAUUUCAGAUGUUUUCCUUAUGUAUGUCGUUAUUCCACUUCAAUAAGUCAUGGGCAUGGUGACUAUCCAAAAUUGUAGUGGCCAUUAAAUUUUUUUUAUUUGUUGAUCUAUAUGUUGAUUGCCAAUCGAACUUUUGUAUUUUCUUUGUUAGUCCCAAACUGCUCAUAAACAUGGUUUAGUCUAUUGGGUAACAUUUUACCUCUAUUUUCCCAUCAUGUAACUGCCACGAGCAACGGAGCAUUACUCCGACUUCAACUCUUUGAAAACAUGACUUCAGUGAAGAGUGAUGGAAAUCGAAAGAGGAACUUGAAGUCUAAAAACUUCCCUCCAGACUGCCUCAUCUACCAAACAAGUAGGACGUAGAUAUAUAUGAGUUCAGUUGAUCAAGAUUAUGAGUCUACUUAAAGGAUAAGCUUGAAAGCAAGAAGGAAGUAAUUAAUUUGACACUUGCAAGUUAAAUGCAGCCAAUGCUACCAGAUAUUUAAAGUUAGAUCAACGACUUCUUUUUAGAUUCUGAGAUGAGUAUUUAGAAAAACAAUGAAGUUGUUGUUCUACCAACUUUAAUAUAUUUUCAAGUGUGUGCCUACUAUCACUACAUUAGCUACUGAUCUUUAUCGCUCUAUCCUACUGUGAUUAUUGUUAGUGUUCAA